GUAGGCAGCUUAAGGAAAACCUUAAGCCCAGUCCAGCAAAAAAAAAGUUGAACUACGUUAUGACUUGAUCCCUAUAUUAUAAAGGGUACGUAGGCAGCUUAAGGAAAACCUUAAGCCCAGUCCAGCAAAAAAAAAAUUGAACUACGUUAUGACGUGAUCCCUAUAUUAUAAAGGGUACGUAGGCAGCUUAAGGAAAACCUUAAGCCCAGUCCAGCAAAAAAAGUUGAACUACGUUAUGACUUGAUCCCUACAUUAUAAAGGGUACGUAGGCAACUUAAAGAAAACUUUAAGUUCAGUCCACCAUUAUAAAAAAAAAAAAAAAAACCUUGAACUACGUCGUGAGUUAAUUCUUUUCUUCAAAGGGUGUUCAUCUCCACUAAGAAAUCAUAACAAAUUGGGGGCAAAUCCCUAAAUUCAAGAUGUUCAUCUUUAGUAACAAUGAGAUGAAAUAAAUUGAAGAUGUACAAACUCCGUGCAAAGACUAUGUACAAGUUGAGUGCAUGUAAAAAGAAAAAAAAAAGAGAAUCUCAAAAUCAAGCUCAAAGGCAUCAUUAAUGAUCCCUCAAAUUCAAGCAUAAAAGUUUCAUUGAUGAUUCCUUAUAUUCAAGUUUGAAGGCUUCAUCGAUGCUGCAGCUCCAGCUCUUUGAGAGGAUAACGAUGGUACAACUUUGAUAGGACGACGAUCGGGCAGCUCUGCCUUCGCCUCUCCAAGAUGAAAACGACAGUGUAACAUCGUUUCUGCCUCUUGAAGAAGAUGCAUGCAAUGCUAAAGCUUUAACCUCUGCUUCAUCUUCAGCUUAUUGCAACCGAAGAGGAUUCAUCUUCAUCUUCUUCUAAGUUUUGCAAUCGAAGAUUAUUCAUCUUCAUCUGCUCUAAGGUGUCGCAAGUGAGAGGAUUCAUCUUUGUCUUCCUCCAUGUGUUACAACCGAGAUGAUUCAUCUUCAUCUUCACCUAGGAGUCGCAAUCAAGAAGAUUCAUUUUCAUCUUCUCUCAGGUGUAACAACCGAAGAUGAUUCAUCUUCAUCUGCUCUAAGGUGUCGCAAGUGAGAGGAUUCAUCUUUGUCUUCUCCUAUGUGUUGCAACCGAGAGGAUUCAUCUUCAUCUUCUCCUAAGAAUUGCAACUGAGAAGAUUCACCUUCAUCUUCUUUCAGGUGUCGCAACCAAAGAAGAUUCAUCUUUAUCUUCUUCUAGGUGCUGCAACCAAAGAGGAUUCAUCUUCAUCUUCUUUCAUAUGACGUAGCCGGAAGGAUUCACCUUCAUCUUCUUCUAGGUGCUACAACCGAGAGGAUUCAUCUUCAUCUUCUCAUUGGAAUUGCAACUGAGAAGAUUCAUCUUCAUCUUCUCCUAAGAGUCGCAACCGAGAAGAUUCACCUUCAUCUUCUUUCAGGUGUCGCAACCAAAGAAGAUUCAUCUUCAUCUUCUUUUAGGAGUUGCAACCAAAGAGAAUUCAUCUUCAUCUUCUUUCAUAUGUCGUAGCCGGAAGGAUUCACCUUCAUCUUCUUCUAGGUGCUACAAUCAAAGAUGAUUCAUCUUCAUCUUCUCUUAUAUGUCAUAGCUGAGAAGAUUCAUCUUCAUCUUCUCCCAGGUGCUGCAAUCGAAAAUGAUUCAUCUUCUCUCAUAUGUCAUAGCCGAGAGGAUUCAUCUUCAUCUUCUCCCAUAUGUCAUAGCCGAGAGGAUUUAUCUUCAUCUUCUCCCAGGUGCUGCAAUUGAAUAGGAUUCAUCUUCAUCUCCUCCCAUAUGUCAUAGUCGAGAGGAUUCAUCUCCUUUCAUAUGUCAUAGCCGAGAGGAUUCAUCUUCAUCUUCUCUCAUAUGUCAUAGCUGAGAGGAUUCAUCUUCAUCUUCUUCCAAGUGCUGCAACUGAAGAGAAUUCAUCUUCAUCUCCUCCCAUAUGUCAUAGCCGAGAGGAUUCAUCUUCAUCUUCUCCUAUAUGUCGUAGCUGAGAGUAUUCAUCUUUAUCAUCUAACAGGUGUCGCAACCCGGCCGAUGGAAUUCAUUUUCAUCAGCUCUAAGGUGUCGCAAGCUAGAUGAUUCAUCUUCAUCUUCUCCCUAGUACCACAACCAAGAAAGAAAGAAAAAAAAAAGGAGAAGCAAGAAGAAGAAAGAAGAAAAUGAUGAAGAAGAAAGAAGGAAGAAGAAAGAAAAAAAAAAACAAAAAGAAAGAAGAAAAGAAAAAAAAAAAACAAAAACAAAAAGAAAGAAAAACAAAAAAAAAAAAAAGAAAGAAGAAGAAGAAGAAAACAAAAAAGAAAGAAGCAAAAGAAGAAAAAACAAAAAGAAAGAAGAAUAAGAAGAAGAAGAAAAAAAAACGAAGAAGCUCAAUUGGUGAUAACGAAGAUCGAAGCCCGACGAUGACAGAGUCGAUCUCUCCUACUAGGGCGAUAGAUCUGACGGCAAAAGCCCGAUCGUCCCUAGAAGAAGCUCAACAAAGUCAUUUCUGCAAACGAAGAUCGAAGCCCGACGAUGACAGAGUCAAUCUCUCCUACUAGGGCGAUAGAUCUGACGGCAAAAGCCCGAUCGUCCCUAGAAGAAGCUCAACAAAGUCAUUUAUGCAAACGAAGAUUGAAGCCCGACGAUGACAGAGUCGAUCUCUCCUACUAGGGCGAUAGAUCUGACGGCAAAAGCCCGAUCGUCCCUAGAAGAAGCUCAACAAAGUCAUUUCUGCAAACGAAGAUUGAAGCCCGACGAUGACAGAGUCGAUCUCUCCUACUAGGGCGAUAGAUCUGACGGCAAAAGCCCGAUCGUCCCUAGAAGAAGCUCAACAAAGUCAUUUCUGCAAACGAAGAUCGAAGCCCGACGAUGACAGAGUCGAUCUCUCCUACUAGGGCGAUAGAUCUGACGGCAAAAGCCCGAUCGUCCCUAGAAGAAGCUCAACAAAGUCAUUUCUGCAAACGAAGAUUGAAGCCCGACGAUGACAGAGUCGAUCUCUCCAACUAGGGCGAUAGAUCUGACGGCAAAAGCCCGAUCGUCCCUAGAAGAAGCUCAACAAAGUCAUUUCUGCAAACGAAGAUCGAAGCCCGACGAUGACAGAGUCGAUCUCUCCUACUAGGGCGAUAGAUCUGACGGCAGAAGCCCGAUCGUCCCUAGAAGAAGCUCGACAAAGUCAUUCCUGCAAAAAAAAAAAAAAAAACAAAAACAAAAACAAAAACACAAAAAAAAAAAAAAACAAACAAAAAACAAAACAAAACAGAAAAAAAAAAAAAACACACACACACACACAAAAAAAAAAAAGAAGAGAAAAAAAAAGAGAAAGGGAGAAGAAAAGUUUUCUAUACCUUUCUGCCGAUUUGAUGAGGAAUAAGCGUUGGAUGAGGUAUAAGUGAGUAGGGUAUGAGUCUAUUUAUAAGCCCAACAAAUCCAAUUCCUAAAAGGAUUAGGAAUGAUAUUUAAUUAUUUUUUUAAAAAAAAACAAAUCCAAUUCCUAAAAGGAAUAGGAAUGAUUUUUAAAAAAUAUAUAUAUAUAAAGAAAAGAUAAUCCAAUUAUCUUAUUUUAUUUUAAAUUAUUUCUUUUUUUUUGGAUAAAUCUCAAGUUUAACUUUUAUUGAGAUAUUUAAAAUAUUUAAAAAUUUCAACAUUUUUAAAAAUAUAUACAUAUAUAUAUAUAAAUAUUCUCAAUUUCAAAAUUCAAGUUAAAUUAACUUGCAUAUAUGACCUCCUUUUUAUCAUGAAUUUAAAUCGGAGCCAUAAAUCCAACUUUACCUAAGAUUGAGGACCUGAUUUUUUUAUCUCAAGUUAAAAUUGGUCAUUCCAAAUUCUUAUGCAUCCCUAAGAUAAAUUAAGGUACGGUAGAAACCUUAUCCUUAUUUCAAAAUUAAAAUUUUGGUUAUAUUCCAAAUUUUACUUUAAAAAAAAAAAUCAUCAUAUUAAUUUUUUUUUCCCCUCAAAUAAAAUUAAGUGGGAAAUAAAACUUUGAAUUUUUUUUAAGGUUUGGUCAUAUUCCAACCCUUAUUUUAAAUUUAAAUCAAACUCACGUACUAAAUUCAUAGUUUGAUUAAUUUGAUAUGCUGAAUUGAGUAAAAAAAAAAAAAAAAAAGGCUCGUACUUUGACUUCAAAUUUAUCUUUUCCGAGAUUCAUUCACCCAUAUACGUGCAUAAAUCUCGAAAAGGGGGCAUUUGUUGAAUAAGAAAUUUUGAGACCAAUCACAAGUUGCCACAUCAUUUAUUAAGUUAAUGAUGAAAAGUACAAAUAAUUAAAUUUGGGACUAAUUAAAAUUGACACAUGCCCCAAAUUAAAGAGUUAAAAUAAAUAAAUUGGUCAUUCUAAUAAUGCCACAUGUUUUCAUAUUAAUCGUUGGAUUAAGUUAAUCAUUUUAGUUCAAUUAAGCCAAAAAAAAUAAGCUUAAUUGAGCCCAAAGACUAAAUAUAACCUAAGUCCAUAUGGUUGAGCCCAUGGGUCUGGUCCAUGGACCAACCAAGUUCAAACCCAUAAAGCCCACCAGUGAACUCUAUAAAUAGAGGAAUUCUCCUCAUUUGCAGGGGUUGGAAAAUUUUGACUCUAGAAGAUCUAGAGAGAAUUCUUCCAAGAGCUAGAAGACUCCCUAACUUCUGAAGUUGACCACCCUCGAAGAUUGAAGCUGCUUUGAAGAUACAAACUUUCUUCCAAGACUCCAACUUCAAGAACAUCACGUGCUCCGCUUCCUCAAAUCAAGCGUAAGCAUUCAACCAACUUGAAGAACAUCACGUGCUCCGCUUCUCCAAAUCAAGCGUAGACGUUCAACAAACUUCAAGAACAUCACGUGCUCCGCUUCUCCAAAUCAAGCGUAGACGUUCAACAAACUUCAAGAACAUCACGUGCUCCGCUUCUCCAAAUCAAGCGUAGACGUUCAACAAACUUCAAGAACAUCACGUGCUCCGCUUCCUCCAAAUCAAGCGUAGACAUACAGUUGAGAGAGAAUCAGAGGAUCAAAUUCUAGAGAUUGAACCGCAUCGCAUCAAAUCAACAAAAAUACAACAUCAACCCAAGUUCAAGUCCACGAAUUAAAUUUCUCCGGAAAUCUCGUGCGAACACUAACUUACAUCAAACUUCCUCAUCGUAGCUUCAACUUGAAUAGUUCUAACCUAUUGAGCUCUCAAUUUAUCCUCUUGAAUAAACUGUUUUAAGUUUCAACUCUUUACAUCCCAUGAAAUUUAUACUCUGAAGCUAUUGGCAACCUCUUGUCAAACUGUUGCUCCUUCCGAAGAACUUAUGUUCUUAUACCACAUGGUCUCACACCACUUAACCUUGCCUUAAGCUUUUGUUCUUCUUCUCUGAAGAAACAUAUGCUUUGAUACCACCUGUCACGCCUCGUCCCAAAAAGUUGUUGCUCUUAUGCUCCGAUAUACCUUUAUCGCGUACUUCUCGCGAGGCAACGCAUUAAACGUCUAGUAAGAGAAAUAACUUAUCUCUUUUUGCACAUCUUAAACGUCAACUUCCUUUAAAUGAGGAAGCGGGAUGCAACAAAAUAAGCCUUUUAUUAAUUAUCAAAUUAUGUGAUAGACAGAGAUAAUACAGCGGAAUAAGUACAAAACUUCACUUUAUUAACUUAACACUUUUAUAUAAUGCACUUUAGACUUUUCCUUACAACAAACUAAACUUGACAUAAUGUUAGACCCUUCUUGCCUAACACAACUUUUCUGACUGCAACACCUAGCUUACUGACCUCAUCGUGUAGCAAUGCACCUUAGGUCUUUCUUGCUACCCAAUGCUUCUCCUUAAGGCUGGGUGCUUCGAGGGUGAAGACUCCACUUCUUCCAUUACCUCAGAUGUACAAUGACCCAUCCAAAUAACAAUGCUUAGGGCUUCCUUUUCUUGACUAAAUCCUUUGGUUCUCUCACCUCCUGGGCUAGUCCUUACCAACCGUGGUGUGAUACUCGUCUUUCCCCAAAAUGGAGCCUUUUGCGUUAAGAAGCAAUCUGCUUUCCAACCAGCUCCUUAGACGCAAGGUAAGAUGACACGGCCCUUAUGCCGCAUAAAUCCACACAAGUCAUCAUAGAUAGUAAAUAAAAUCCAUUAACCUUUAUUAAUAAAAUGUUACUAUUAUUAUUUCAAUAAGUGUUAUUGUUUUUAUUAUUAGUUUUGUCUUAAUAACCUAAAUCCAAUAACCUAACACCCUAAUCUGCUUGAUGAUUCUUGAACAAGAUGUAGAGACAUACAGGGAUCAAUAUUCGAGAUAAGCUUAAAGGGUCUAUAGUAUAGGAAUAAGGUUGGAUACCUUAUCCUAGUAACACUAUGGAUAAGGCUCACUUUGUACUUGAUACAAAUGCAAUGAUCCAACGUGUUCGCGUAGGUGACAUGCGAGUGAGGGUAUCUUAUGCAAUGAGUUUGCAUCAAACUAUACCAUGAAAUAGUAACCAGUAGAUGUAACUCUGUCAAUGAAUUGAGUUUCUAUUUCAUUAGGAUGACCUAGGUAACUUAGUCUUAAUCGUGAGUGUAUUAUCAACUCCUGUUUGUAAGAGAUUGCCCUUUGAUUUGUACGGAUGAUAGUGGCUAGAUUGACGACUUAAUAUGCUUAUCAUUUUUAGGAUAAGACCGAGUGGAAAGCUGAAAACAUAAUCCCACAAGAUGGAAUUGACUCAUCCUCAACUUUAGGGUAAGUGGAUGAGUUGUCCCUUAAAUGGUAUCUCCAGGACUUGAACAAAUGGCUCUACCUUCUAUAUGGCACGAGAGAGGAUUUCUAUUUAUUGGUUAGAUCAUAAACAUGUUGUUUAUUAUAGGAGCACUAGUAUUUAAGGACUAAAAGUAACUCAGGGGUAAAACGGUAAUUUGACCCAGCUAGUGUUACGAACACUUGUGAAUGAAUAACUUACUAUUAUUGGUCUAUAUCUAUGGACACAGAAAUAUAUUUACAUUGAAAAGAGUUCAAUUGUGAGUCUUUAGUGAAGUGUACACACAAUUAUGAAAUAUUGAUUAAUGUGGUUAAUGAGUUUAGCUUAAUCUCAUACGUUGUAGCUUCUUAUAUGUAGGUCCAUUAGGUUCCCUUCCUAGUUCGUAAAGGGUAAUGAGAUUUAUUUAUAUUGGUCAUAAUUUGAAAGGUUCAAAUUUACUUUGAAAAUUAGUAUAAUGUAUGGUCAUACAUUAUAAUAUAAAAUUUAUAUUUAAUUAAACUUUAUUAUAUAAAUUUAAUUCCGGAUAUGAUUCAAAAUUAAUUUAUGAGAGAUCAAAUAUAUGAAUGAGUUCAAAUAUUAAAUUAAUGUGAAUUAGAUUUCAUAUUAAAACUAUAGGUUAAAAUUUAAUGCAUAUAUGAUACACAUUAAAACUAUAGGUUAUGAGAGAAAUUUAUAUUUCAAUAUGAUUCAAAUUUGAAUUAAAUUAAAUAUAAGAUAUUUAAUUUAACUAUUAAUUAAUAAUUAAUAGUUUUGUUUAAUGAUUUAAUUAAAUAAAAACUAUAAAUUAUGCGAUAGAUAUUCAUUAAAUAUGAUUUAAAUGAAAUAUUAAUUUAAUAUAAUUAAUAAACAAGUUAAUUAGUUAAUUUAAUAUCUUUAUUAAUUUAAGAUUUUCAAAUUAAUAGAAUCUCAUUAUUUUCUCCAACUUCCUGAAUAAGACGGAGUUUUAAAUACACAUAAGAAAACAUGUUUUUUCAAUUUAAGCCUUUGUCUCUUGCGAAUUCUUUAGAGAUUCUCUCAAAAGAUUUUUCCAUUCUAAUUGGUUUCCACAAAUCAAUCUUAUCUUAGAGGAUAGGAAGUUCUUUAACGGGUGGUUCUUCUCCAAUUUGGAGUUUUAGUAGAUUCAGAGGCGUCAAAAUACGUAAGUUUUUCUUUCUCUAAUCUAUAAUUUUAAAGCACGUUUAGCCUCAAUUAGAAAAUUGUUUCUGUAACUAUUACCAAUGUACGAUAUUUUUAAGUUUCCAAUUAAAUUAAUCUAAGAUCACUGUAAAAUCUUCUGCUGCAAAGGGCUUUAAGCCCUUCAGUGCAUUAAUCAUUCUUCGUAUCGUCAGAUCAAAAAGCGAAAGGGGCUGUGUUAAAUUAGGUGGAACCUGAGGUGGCAAGACAACACAUCAGUAAGUGUUGAUAUUUGAGCAAAGCAUUCAAUUAUGUAUCAUUUCUCCUGGCCAGUUCUUCAACUAAACCCGUUAGCCUUUCUAUUUUGUCUUUUAGGACCAUAUUUCAUUGUUGGAGCUUUUUGUAACAGCCCGAACUUUUAAGCUAAGCUAAAGUCAUUACUCAAAUAGAUAAAUAUCAAAAUACACUUUUUGAAAAAGGAAAAACUAAAAUUUUAAUAUCAAUAAAUGUUUGAAGACUUAAAAAUCAAAUAAACCAAUAAAAAUAAUUUGAUCAAAACGUGACUCGCAGGUACUAACAUUUUUUUAGCAUCAAUAAACGUUCGAAGACAUAAUAAUCAAUAAACCAAUAAAAAUAAUUUCAUCAAAACGUGACUCGCAGGUACUAACAUUUUUUUUUUAAGAAAUAAAGAUAAACAAAUGAGACCAAACUUUAUAUAAGGUUUCUAAAACCAAAAUACUGAAAAAUUGAUACGUAGGCGCGAACGCAAAACUGAGUCCCAUAUGACAUGUCAUGGACCCUUCUAUUGGUCCCGUUAUUAGUACCCUUCUACAAUCCUAUACCUUUUUCUGAAAUAUUAAACAUAAAAAAGAGUGGGUAUAUAAAUAUACUCAGUAAGGGACCCUCUAUUGGUCCCGUUAGGUGAUCUGUUAACUUCUCGUUAAAAACAUAAUAAUAGUGUCAUGCAUCCAAUGGAGCACCUGGACGAGUGAGAUCAUACGAACACCCCUUAUCGUGCAAGUGACCCGUAGGAACACCCCUUACCGUGCGAGUGAUUGUAGAUACACACUUAGCAAGUGAAACCAUACAAACAUUAUUUAUCGUGAGAGUGACCUAUAUGGACACCUCUUAUUGUGCGAGUGAUCGCAGGUACACACUUCAUAAACAUGUUUGUAAUAAAUAGGUAUACUCUUAGUUGUGCGAGUGGUAUCGUCGGAACACACCCGUUAUCGUGCAACUGACGUCGUAUACACAGUAAAACUGUCCUCUAAUCGUGCAUGUGAUCCAUAGGUACACCCCCAAAAUCGUACGAGUGGUUUUGUCCUUAUCGUGUAAGUGAGCCCACAGAUAGGAUCACAAUACAUAUGGAGUAAAAAGCUCAACAAACAAAGUUACCCAACGAACUCCAGUCCAAAGCAUGUAGCAACAUCAUAAACAUGACAUGAAUAUCAAUCAUAACAUUGAUCCUUAAAUGAUUACAUAUCAUGCGUCAUAACAUAUCAGUCAUCAAUAUUAGUCAUCAACAUAAACACAUUACGCAUCUUAGCUACAUCAAUGCAAAAGAAAAAAUACAUGCAAGCUCUUAAUUUUAUGUUCGAAGGGCCAGUAGUAGAAUCCCCUACGUGAGAUUAACCAAACAAAAUACUCUCUAGCUGAUAGUAAAAAUUCUUCAAUUAAUUCGAUCCCAAAAUUGAGGUUGAAACCAAUUCAACCUUGAUGAGAAAUUUUCAUCACUUAAAUCUUCAAGCUUUUCCAUAAGGACCAAUCUUAACCAAAAUUGGUGAGGCAGCGACAGAAGGUUAUCUUAGUGAUGAAGAUGAAAAACCUUUUCUUUUUUCUUUUAUUUUCAAUUUAAACAUUUAAAAGUUAUUUAUAAACCCAAAUAAUAAUAAUCACAAUAAUCAUUACUAUUUUCUUUUCCUUUUAGGAUAUACAACACUAAUAUAUACAUAUAUUUUUAUUCUCAUUAUCUUUCAUCAAUAAAUUUCUUCAGUGCAUAAAAUCUUAGGGUGUGUUUUGGGGAAGGGUUGAGUUAUGAAGGGUUAGAGUUAUGAUAACCUAGUGUUAUGAUAAACCUAGGAUUAUGAUAAGAUGACCCCCUCUAGGUUUGUUGAACUUACGACCCUCACUAAUUUUUAAUUUAAUCAAAUAGUUCUUAUAGUUUGUUAAUUGUUGUAAUCAAUUCAUGGUAAUUUGUUAAAAUUGUACCAUUUUUUUUUAUUGAAUUGAUAUUCUUUAAAUAUUUAAGUUAAUUAACAAAAUACAAUAAAGUUGAGAUUGAUAUCAAAAUCUUAAUUUCACAAAUAUAUUGAUGUGAAUUCCAACAAAAUCUUCUCUAAUAAAUCACUUAUUUUCAAAUUUCGUAAAUUCCAACAUGAAUUAUCUUAAUUCAAUAAUUCAAUUUUAACUUCAAAUCUUAAGAUGACUCUCAAAUAACUUCAGAUAAUCGAUAAAAGCACCGUACAAAUUUGGGAUGUUAAAUUUUUUCCAAUAAUUAUAUUCAAGUAUAUAAUUAUCAAUUUUCCUUUUCUUUUUUCAAAUAACCAACUCUAAAUUUCUCUUUCUUCCUCAAUUAUUUUUCACAUAUAUCCUUACUAAAUAUUAUAUAUAUAUACAUAGAUACAUAGUUAUUCAUUUAUUUUCCAAAACAAAUCAAAUCUUCCUCUUUCCUCAUUUAAUUCCCAUCAAAUCAACUUUGAUCUCUUUUUCAUUUCCAAAAAUAAAUACACUUUUACAAAUAAUUAUAUUUUAACCAAUAUAAUUAUCUUUUCUUUUUUUCAUACUUAUAUAUAUACACACAUAUAUAUUAUCAAAUCUUCAACAAAAUUUUCACUCUUCAGUUUAAUUAACUAACAUCUAAAUUAUUUAAUUAAUUCCAAUGUUCACAAAAUCAAUUAAUCUUUAAAAUAAUUUCCAAUAAAUGAAAUUUAACUAAACAGAGCUAAAAUAAAUAACUUCAAAAACAAUCUUAAUUUGUUAGGCUUUACACUUUUCAUUUUGCGUUAUAAGCUCUGUGACUUUCUCAUUGAGUUGUUCUAUUUGUGCCUCGAAAUUUGCAUUUGCAUUGUCUACUUUAAGUUCUAAGUCACUCAACUGCUUUUGACUCUGAAAAUGCAUCUUUGGAAGCAUACUAUGGCACUGGAUCAUAUCUUCAAAUCCAUUGUCCAAUCAUUUGCAUACGUGGGUGAUUUAUGAAAUAGAAGAUAUAAUCCUCGUCAAAAACUUCUUCGUCCUUUUCCUUUACUGCUUCUUUACUCUUAUCGUCUUGCAUUAAAGCUUCUACUGUUUCUUUAGGCAGUGAAGAGAGGUGUGUCUCGCCAACUUCCUUAUAGAUUGUUUCUUUCUCCAUGUGGAGUGGGUCAUCAAUCACCUGCUCAAGAACUUCGUUCCUUUUUUGGGACAAGUUUGGGCCAACGCCCCAUCUUUUCACUUGUUGAAUGUGUCAUCACUAGUCGCGUUAAGAUCAAUAAAAGGGUCCUGAUAUUCCUCCUAGUCUGGAUUUUCAUGUCCAGUAGAUUUGAUUUGGCUAACUAGGUCAAAUUGUACUAAGGUACGAGAGUUGUCAGGUUUCCACCAUGAAAGAGAUGAAUCAAUUUGGAUUUGGGGAGAGAUUGGCGAUUUGGAUUUGAGGGAUUUGGAUUGGCAGGCUUGCGAGGCGGACUUUGGUGAGGACUUGGUUGGGGUAGCGGCAAGGAGUUUACAGAAAGUGAGAGGCUGUGGUUUCCUAGAGUCCUUGGCCUUCAAAGUUUUUUUUCUUGGAUCUACAGCCCUCCCCCUCGCCACGCCUCUUUUGCUUAAGAGGAUUUUCCUUGUCUUCUAUUUCUUCUACCUCUUCUUCUCCUUCUUCUCUUUCUUUUUCUUUUGCAUCCACUUUAUGGCCAACUUUUAUUCUCUCUUCAUCUCUUGUUUUUAACUUAUUGGUCGUGGCCUUGUUUUUGUGGAUGGCUAUAAUGCGACUUAAAUUGGUUGCGUUGCACAUACCAUCUCAAAUGCAUGCAACUUGUGGGGUCUUUUCCAAUUCUUGACAUGCUUUCAAGUAAAGCCUUCAAUAAGAUGCAUGAAGGGCUUAGCUUCGAACUGAUGAUGCAGCCAAGUCUCUUUGUAUUCACAAAUUAUUUCAUCCACAUCCACUGGUAUUGUCUUCAUUAUACAAUAAAGUAUUAUUCUUUCAAGUGAAAUCGUACUAUCUGUGGCGCGUGGACAUCAACUUCGUUUUAACGAACACCAACCAAGCACUUGCUGGUGAUUUUAGAUUGCACAGGAAUAGUUGAUACUUCCCGAUUAGGGUUACAUCCCAUGUUGUACUAGACUAAGCUACUGUAUCUCAUGCGUCUAGCAUGUCGUGAGAUGAUGGAUCUUUGAAAAUCGAUUUCCCUACCUCGAGUUGUUUCAAUUUGUAUAACGCAUUGAUUACCUUUGGUAUGUAGUUUAUCUUUUUUUCCUUCUACAAUGGCAUAAUGUCUUUUAUUGACUAACUUGCCAUUGUAAAACAUGUCCACUACUUCAGGCCGAAUCGUAGUUACCUCGUGAAAAAAACUCUUGUCAUCUUAAUGCUCUAAUGGAACCUGUGAGAAACGACAGCAGUUGCCCGUCAAAUGCAAAGAGUUCCUUUUCCAGCAUAUAAUGUUUGCUCAAAUUCUCUAUGGAAAAGGCAACUUCCUCUUCAAUUUCUUGGCCCUCAUCUUCUUGUUGAGCCUUUUCUUUCUUAAGUCUUUUCUUGGUGUCCUGUCCUCUUUAUACCUCUUUCCUCUUUGGUUGUUCCUCACCAACAUUGUCCUUUAAAGGACUCAUCUCAUUCAUUUCUUUGUUAAACUCCUCACAUAACUUGUAAAGGGACAUCUCCCUUCCUUUGCUCUUCUCUACGGAGAGGACCAAUAUUUCAAUUUUGUUGAGGAGCUCUUCCCGCUCCCUCAACUUUCUUUUGGUACUUUCCUCUGCCAAAUACUUUAUGCCUUUGGCCUAAUCCUUAAUCUUUAAGAGCCUAUACUUAACUUUUUCGCUCUGUUUCUGGGCUUCUUUUGCCAAUCUUCGGAAUUCAGUCUCAAUAAUGGGUGAAGAGGAUUCUUCUUCGUUCACUCUUUUUCUUCCUUCUUCUUCCUCUUCACAUGUUUCAUCCUCUUCUAUUUUCUUCUCUUUUUCUCUCUUUUUCUUUCUCUUUUUCUUUCUCUUUUUUUUUCUUCUCUUUUCUUCUCUUUUCCCAACUGUUCUUAUCUCAUCUUUUCCUCACUUUCUUUUUGUUUCUUUGUUGCUUCCUCGUUUGCUUUUUCUCUUUUGUUGUUUUCCUCAAGAAGUACCUUAAGCACUCCUCCAAUGUUUUCAUUAAACAUGGUUAUCCCCUUGUUGUGAAGUUGAAGGUCCUAGGUAAAAGAUAGCUUUCAUUAAGGGACAAGGGGUUAGUCUGUGCUUACGUCGACACAGGACCAUCAGAGUGCACAAUUUCAGUAUCAACUGUAACUAGUACUUCUUUCAUUUCAGACUUCUCAAAUACUUUGUUUUCGGCCAUUGUUGCGAAGGGGUAAAGGAAAUAAGAUGGAAAAUUAAAGGAUAAGGAAGAAAUUUUACUUUGCGCAUCGUAGAAGAUGAUCGGAGAACUUAAAGCGAUGUGAGAAGUUUAGGGAGGAAAUCACGUGGUGAAAAGGUUAAUGUUAGGGUUUUGAAAGGGUUUUUAAAGAUAAUCUUUACUAUGGUUAGGUUUUACUUAACUGCAUAAUAAGUGUCACGUGUUAUUAUUGGGAAUUGAUGUCUGACACAAAUAGGUGAGAUUAUCAAAGUGUAGUACAAUCAUUACAAAUCGGAGUUGAAAUCUGAAAAAGUAAUGGUUGAAAUUCCACAAACCCCAAACUAAUCAUGAAUAAGACCCUUUGCUCUACACCUUGCGAGACGAUCAAAACGACUAAUGUGUUUUGAUGCGAACCUUCUCACUAGAUGGCUGCAUCGUGAGAAACCUUAGCUUACUUCAACUAAUGGCCACACGAGUCAACACGCUCUUCCUAACUGAAGAAGAAGAAUAUACAAAUCUAAAUUACAAAACUACACAAGUAAAGAAUAAUUAGAAAUAAAAAAAAAGUAUAAUAAAUAUACAAAAUUUUGAAGAUGCAGUUGUAAAGAUGAUGGAAAAGUUAUACGCUAUAAAUGCAUCCUUGCGUUCAAGUUCCUUGAUGAGGAAGAGUUGUGGUCUCAUUGCAUUAUGCUUUGCAGAGCCUUCCUAACCGCAUCAUUUUUCCUGAACUUUCAUGAUCAUCUACUACAUGACUCUUUGUGUCUUGAUUGUUCCUCGCAUAAGUCUCUACUCUCUAUCAAUCAUUGCAAUGUUCAAACGAUUGUUUUUGGUCCUCUUCGCAUAGUUAGCCAAAGUAAUAGUCUUGCUAAGCUAGAUGUGUGGACACUUUCCUUUAUGUCUUUAAUCAGAUUAGGCGGCAUCUAUAAAUUCAUGCGGCUUUAAGGGACUCAGCUUCAUUUGCGAUCAAACGCAUUCAUUCAAAUACCUCACAGCAGUUGGCCAAAAGAUGCACUUGAACUUGGAUGCGUUCAAGAAAGCCUAGAUUACUCUCGCACCUUGAACCUUCUCGCGCGAUCUUUGACUAAACACAUAAUCCACCAAAAUCAAUUAUUUUGCCAAAAUCAAAGUAAAAACCCUACUCUAGUGUUUGAAAAAUCAAUUCUUCGAUAGUCGUGCCAAAAACUUGCUUGUUGUUUUGCGCCAAAAGGAAAGAAGGAAGGAAGGAAGGACAUGUGAACAUAGAUUCAAACUCAGGGUUGUGUAUGCACAUGAUGAAUUCUAUGUAAUAAGUCAUUGGUUAAGAUCAUUGUAUGUGAAAUACUCAAUAUGAACCUCUUCAUCGUGUUAUAGUUAAGUCCUCGUUCAGUGCAAGUUUUCCUACUACUUGCCCAAAUAUAAGCGAAACGGUAAAUUUUCUUGGAUGAUCCAGGGUCGAACACAAAAAAUUGAUAUCAAAGUUUAGUUAUAGGGUCUUCUUAUCAGCUAGGCUUUAUAAAAGAAUAAAAUAAUUACAAAGAAUGCUAAAGGGAAAUACAAUUACUUAUUUAUGCCUAGAGAUCUUCUGCAAAAGAGAUUAAAUGAUGGCGAGAUAGAAAUGUGAACUAUCUUGGAUAGAUAGAAGAGUGAAGAAAAAGAUAUGCAUUGUAAGAUGAUUAAGCAAUGUGAGAGCCUUAACCCGACAUAUUAUUGUUAACCAAAUUAUGAUUAAGACAUGCUUCUCUCGAAGUCUUCAUUGAAUGCCACACAUGGUCACCCUGUCAGGAUCCAUGUGACUAAUCUUGAUUAAGAAAAAUAUAUCUAAAAAUAUUCACUUAUAAAACUUAUAGAACUUCACGUUUAAGGAUAAUAACCUCUGCAUGCCUAUUGUCCACAUUUGUUCACCUUUUGGGAUACAAAUUAGGAAAGUUAUCUCGCAAGGUUGAGGAAACUCUUCCUUGCGCGUAUUAGCCACGCGUCCUUGCUACUUACCCUAUCAAACAGUUAACGACAUACACCAGCCAAGUGCUGAAUUUAGCUCGACUAAUACGAUAAGAGUUAUAAGCGAAACUCUUUAUCAAUAACUUACUAUAAACAUGUAAUAUAUCAUAGAAUGUAGGGCUUUCACCAUUAUACAAAUUAACAUUAUAUAUAACACAAUGAAUACAAAAAAUAGAAAGGAAAUAUAAUGAAAAUAUGGCAAGUUAGGAGAAAAGUGGAAGAUGGAUUCUUCUUUAUUCAGACUCUAAGCUUUCGCUUUACAAUCUAAUCAGAGAAGUAAAAUAAGAAUCCUUUGCAUAUGGUGGAAAGCCUAUUCCUUUCCACCUCUCUCUAGAAUUUGGCCGGUCUGGUAAGACAUCUGGCCACUCAAGCCUCUCUAGAGUCUCCUUGAAUAGUGUAUAAUGAGGCUUUUUAUAGAAAAACUUUUGGGCGAAAAAUUGGCCUUCUAGUUGCGUCUACCAAAAGUAAUCUCUGCAAUCAAAUCAUUGUUGGGAUUUAUGUCCUAAAACUCGUAGAUUGUAAAUAUAAUCCAUUGACCGCUAUUAAUAAAGUGUUAUUAUUGUAAUAAUUGUUAUUAAUUAAUUUAUUAGUUUUGUCUUAAUAACCCAAAUCCAAUAAACUAACAUCCUAAGUUGUUUAAUGAGUCUUGAACAGUAUGUAGAGACAUACAGGGAUCAAUAAUCAAGAUCAGCUUAAAGGGUCUAUAGUAUAAGGAUAAGAUUGGGUAACUUAUCCUGGUAACACUAUUGAUACGGCUCACUUUGUAAUUGAUACAAACCGCAAUGAUCCAACGUGUUCAUGUAGUUGACAUGCGAGUGAGGGUAUCCUAUGCAAUGAGUUUACAUAAGACCGGACCGCGAAAUAGUAACCACUAGAUGUAACUCUGUUAAUUAGUUAGGUUUCUAUUUCACUAGGAUGACCUAAGUAACUUAGUCUUAAUCCUGAGUGUGUUAUGAAUUCCUAUUCGCGAGUGAUUGUCCUUUGAUUUGUACGGGUGAGAGUGGCCAGAUCGCCGACUCAAUAAGCUUAUCAUUUUGGGGACAAGACCAAGUGGGGAGCUGGGAACAUAAUUACACAAGAUGGAAUUCACUUCUCUCCUACUUUAGGGUAAGUAGAUGAGUGUUCCCUUAAAUGGUGUCUCCAGGUCUUGAACAAAGGGUCCUACCCUCUCUAUGGCACGAGAGGCAUUUCUGUUUAUUGGUAGGACCAUAAAUAGGUUGUUCAUUGGAGGAGCACUGGUAUUUAAGGAUUAGAGGUAACCCAGUGGUAAAAUGGUAAAUUGUCCCAACUAGUGUUACGAACACUCCUGAAGGACUAACUUACUGUUAUUGGUCUAUAUCCAUGGACACAGAAAUAUAUCUACAGUGAGAAGAGUUCAGCUAUGAGUCUUUAGUGGAGUGUACACACAGUUAACGAAUAUUGAUUAAUGUGGUUAAUGAGUUUAGUCAAUUAAUCUUAGAUUGUUGUAGCUUCUGAUUUGUAGGUCCAUUAGGUCGUCUUCCUAGCUCGUAAAGGGUAAUGAGAUUUAUUUAUAUUGGUUGUAAUUUAAAAUGUUCAAAUAUACUUAGGAAAUUAGUUUAAUGUAUAGUGAUACAUUAUAAUAUAAAGUUUGUGAAACUUUAUUAUAAAUUUAAUUUUGGAUAUGAUUCAAAAUUAAUUUAUGAGAGAUAAAAUAUUUGAAUAAAUUCAAAUAUUAAUGUGAAUUGGAUUCAUAUUAAAAUUAUUGGUUAGGAGAGAAACUUAUAUUUGAAUAUGAUUCAAAUUUAAUUUUAAUUAAAUAUCUUAUAUUUAGAUAUUUAACUUAGCUAUUAAUUAAUUGAAGAAUUAAUUAAUAAUUUAGUUUUAUUUAAUUAAAUUUAUAAAAUGAUAUUGCAGAGAUAUUAAUUAAUUAUGAUUUAAUUAAUUAUAUUAAUAUAAAUAUAUAAGAUAUUAGAGAUAUUUAUUCAAAUAAGAUUUGAAUGAAAUAUUAAUUAAAUAUAAUUUAAUUAAUUAUUAACUAAUUGAUUAAUUGUUAAUUAAUUAGUAGAUUUGAUAUUAAGAAUCUUAUGAUUCUCUCCUGCUCAUUUUCCUAUUCCAAGAAGGAAAGAGACCUAUAAAUAUCUAGAAGAAAACAGUUUUCUUUAGCGAAAGCUUUUUUUGUCUGCAAAAAGAGUUUCUCUCAAAUAUCUCUAAACCUUUUCCCAUCCCAAUUGAUUUCCACAAACCAAUCUCAUCCCAGAGGAUAGGAAGGUCUCCGACGGGUGGUGUCCCAAUUUGGAGAUUGAGUUGUAGAUUCAGAGACAACCUCGAAAGUAAGUUCUUGUAUCUUAUCUUUAAAAGCAUUCUUAGAAUUUAUUUAGAAUUAUGAUUCUAAAAUUUUGCCAAUGUAUCGAUAUUUUAAGAUUUUCAAAUUAAAUUGAGUAAUAGUUCUUUAAUUCUUCCGUUGCCGUAGGGCUUUUAUCCCUUCAAUCAUGUCACUCCAACUACUACUUUGUCUUCUAGUGAACUACUACUUUGUCUUCUAGUGAACUACUACUUUGUCUUCUAGUGAACUACUUCUCACCUUCUGAUAUAGUCUUUUCGUCAAGUUUCUUCGCCCGAGAUUCUUUUCAAAUUGCUAGCUUCUUCCUUUUGUUUACAAUCCUACUUUAGAGCAUUAAAACAUGGUAAAAUAGGCAUGAAAGCUUGAGCAAGAUAUAUCUCUGAAUAUUUAUGCAUUUUCAACAUAACACACGCGUUUUGAUACACUUCUCAUCCAUUUUGGCCUCGUUAUUCUUUAAAACAGACUACAAUAACUUGUAUUUUUACAAGUUAUCAAUCCUUCCUUCACUAAGGUUACUGGGAUUCACUCUUGCCAUCAUCUUGGAUUCAGGUUACUACGAUGUUCACUCCAUCCACGACAUAUGAGGAUUUCCUAGAUUCAUUUCAUGUUACACCAAAUACCAUUUCUAUGCUUAGCCAUUCUCAUUGUGUUACUCACUUCCCCGCGAUAGAAUAACUUGGGUGCAUCUUACUCGUCUUUUCUCGAUUUAUGUUUCUUUUCUUACAAAAUAUUUAGCACUUUUACUUGUUCAAGAUAGUCCUUUUGACAAGGGUUUUUUAUACUGAUCAAGACCUCACAUUGAGAUUGUUGCUCGCUUUUGGAUUUCCAAGAGAUUAUGGAAUGUUCUAAGAAAAUCCAGAACCUAGUGAUGGAUCUUCUAGUAUCAAGACAUGAUCCCCAAUCAGUAUAAAUAAAGGCAUUUAAAUGGAAUGAGGUAAUAGGUUUUAUUAGAAUAACUUGGCCCACAGAUCUUUUUAGGUAUCUCAAUAAGUGGUGAACAACAUCUGUCAUCUACAUGUGUUUUUGUGGGUUUUUGAAUGAAUUGAUUGAGGCGAUGAACAACAAAACAAAUGUCCGGUCUCGAUAUUUUGAGGUAUAUUAGCCUUCCAAUUUGUCUUCUGUUGUAAGUGGUGUCCUCUUUAGUAACGGGUUUUCCUUCCUUCAUCUUUUGACAAUAUCAAAUUAGGAUCCAUCAUUGAUGCAGUUGGUUUUCUAUCAAAGAAACCAGUGUCUUCAAGUAUUUGAAGGUGAUAUUUUCUUUGGGAGAGCAUGAGUCCUUAUUGGGAUCGUGAUAGCUCUAAGCCUAGAAAAUAUUUUGCUUAUCUCAAAUUUUUGAGUUUGAAAUGUCCCUUUAGGAUGUCUUUGACUGAGUUAAAGAUUUUGAGAGAUGGUCGAAUUAGUUAUAUGUCAUCGACAUAUACUAACAAGGCUACAAGGUUGCUUCCAUUGCCUUGGGUAAAUAAUGAAUAGUUAGACUUUGACUGGUGAAAAUAGUGUGAGGAUAGUUUUAAUGCAAACUUGACGAACCAUUGUCUUGAAACUUGUUUGAGGUCAUAUAUUGAUUUGUUGAGUUUGCAAUCUAGCUUUUCUCCUUUUCUUGGUAUUUCUGAGGUUUGGUAGCCUAAGGGUCCGACAUGUGCACUUCUUCAAACAAAUCUCCAUUUAGAAAGGAAUUGUUUAUGUCUAUUUGGGUGAUGGGCUAAUUGUAGGAUGUGGCAAGAACUAGAAAGAUCAUGACAGUGACAAUUUUGGCAACCGGUGAGAAGGUGUUUAAGAAAUUGAUUUCUUCUUGUUGGCUCUAGCCAUUUGCUACAAGUCUUGUCUUGUAUUUGUUAAUUAUGUCAUAUAUGUUGUAUUUUACUUUGUACAUCCAUUUGCUAGUAACAGUGUACUGAUCUUUUGGUAGGAAUCAAUGUGUUAAUUCUUCCAUAGCCUCUAUUUCUUUUGUCAUAGCUUGUCACUAAUUCUGGUGUUUUACAGCUUAGUGAUAGUAAGUUGGUUCAUAUAUAAAGGUAAUGUUUAGUAGGUAAUUUUUAUGGUUUUGGAAGUAGGCAUUAUAUGAAAGGUGUUUUGUGAGCGGAAAAGGUGAAUUGCUUUUGGUAGUGAGGUUACGAUGGAAGUCUUUUAAGUAAGAGGGACCUUUGUGCUAUGAGAAUAGCUUAUUGGUUAGGGUUAUUGGUUUCUUCUAAAGCUUCAAUGUAGGCUUCUUGAUCAUCAUCAUUGUGACUAGCUUCAUGGACAUUUUUUGAUGUGUGGGUAAUGGGAUUUUCAGCAGUAUGAUUUGUGGUGACACAUUUGUUUUCAAUAUGGUUAAAUAAGGGGCAUGGUGUGAGAAACUAUUCCAGGAAGUCAUGUGAGGUGGAGUUGUCAUCUUCUUUGAUGGAAUGGAAUGGAAAUAGUUCUUCAAAGAAUAAGACAUCCUUGAAGAAAAAAAAUUCUUUUUAGUUAUGUCAUACAGUUUGUAGCCUUUCAUACCCGGUGGGAAUCCCAUGAAGAUACAUGGUUGUGCUUUGGAUCAAACGUUGAUAUCUUUGUUAGUAGUGUGAAGGCAUAUGCAAGUCAACCAAAUGUCUUUAUAUUUUUGUAGUCUACAUCUCUGCCAAACAAAGUAGUAAAGGGGGUGCUAUUUAAGAGUAGGACCAUGGGUGUUCUGUUGAUUAAGUAGGCGACAAUUAGUAUGCAUUCUCCUCAAAAGGUAAUGGGAAGUUUGGAUUGGAACAUCAAGACUCUUGCUACAUUGAGAAGGUGUUGAUGUUUUCUUUCAACAAAUGAGUUCUAUUGAGGAGUAUAAGCACAUGAAAACUGGUGGGUGGUUUCAGUGUUAGCAAAAAAAAUCUAUGAAGUUUAGCUCGGGGCAUUAUCAGAGUGCAAGGUUUUGAUCAAUGGGUUUCAAUAAGUUUUAAAAAUCAUGGAAUGACUUCUAAGACGUCAUUUUUAUUUCUCAAAAGAUGGAUUAAGGUAAAUCUUGAUUUAUCAUCAACAAUAGUAACAAGGUCAGAGUGACCAGCAUGUGUUUGGGUUUUAAAGGGACCCCAUAUAUCACAGUGCACAAAGUCAAAAGUUUGUUCAACAACAUUAUUCAAAGUAGGAAAUGAAAGAUGCUCUGUUUAGCUAAAGGAAAAAUAUGACAGACUUCUUUACAGUUUAAAGAAUCCAAAAUUUCUAUCAGUUUUGAUAGUUCUUUUAUUCUACUAGUAGAUGGAUGUCCCAUGGAUUGUGCCAAAUGGAUGUUGAAGCUUUACAUGUCAAUCACUUUGUUAGAUAUGAUGGCUUUUACUCUUUUCAUCUUUUAUUCUGAGUAAGUAGAGUCUGUUGAAAAGUUCAACCUCCCCAAUCAUUUUCGAAAAUGACUUGUCUUGAAUGAUGUAAUCAGUGUUAGAGAAUGAUAUAGAAUAUCUUUUAUCCUUGAGGACACUUACUAAUAGCAAAUUAUAUUUGAAAUCAGGUAUGUGAAGUGCAUCUUUCAGUAUCACUUCUUUUGUCAUGGAGGUGUCACAUAUUUACUCAAAUUUCAGGAGGGUUCUAGUAGGUAAAAUGGCUAACAUGUUUUUAGUGCUAUGUAGAUUAUUGAACAUGAACUUUUCAUUUCAUAUACGUGAGGAAGCACCAAUAUCAAUUAUCUAAACUAAAGAAUUGGUGAGUGAGGUAAGGAAGCAAAUACCUGCUAUAUGAGUAGUUUCUUUUAUGGAACUCUCACCAUUUUGGAAACUAUUGAGAUGUGUUUGAAGCAUGUUUAAGAGUUGUGAAUAUUAAUCACUAUUAAGGCUUGCCAAAAAUGCAGAUCGAUUGGUUUUAGGUGCUUUUGAUGUCUUCUCACUUCCAGUUUGGACAGAAUUGUUUUGUCUUUGUUGAUGCACUAAGUUGUUGUUUGCCAAUUUGUGUCCAAGUGGAUAUCCAUGUAGUUUAUAGCACUUGUCAACAACGUGGCCUCUAUAACUGCAAUUGGAACAUAUCAGAUGUGUAUCUUUCUUCUUAAAUUUUUUAGAAGAAAACCACUUCUAUGUAUUAGCCAUUAAGGUAAUGGUCUCAAUGGAAGGGGAAGAUCCAAUGGAUCUUUUUCUUUCUUAUUGGAUGAUAGAAGAGAAUACUUUGUUUAUUGGCGGCAUAGGAUCUAAGCUCGAAUUUGAGAGUAGGAUUCAUUUAAUCCCAUAAGGAAUAUCAUCAAAAAUUCAACAUUUAAAAAGUCAAUCAUCUUCUUUAAUCCUUCACAGGUGCAUUCAUCAAUAAGUUGAUAUUCAACGAGUUCUUGCCAUAUUAGUGGUAAUUUUAGUAUAAUAGGUUUCCAAUUGAGAGACUUCCUUGUGAAGUAGUUACCAAAUCCUUUGGCAACUGAUAGAUGUGAGGCCCAUUGGAUUGUCAAUAUCUCUCUUUUACGUCAUCUCAUAUUUCUUUUGCACUUCCAUUAUAGACUAGGUUGGCAGCAAUUUCUUUUGAAAUGGAGUUAAUAAUCCAAGAAGCUAUUAUGUCAUUGUUGCAUUUCCAAGCAGAUAGGAGACUACCUUCUGAAGGUUUCUUGAUUUCGUCGGUUAUGAAACCAAUCUUAUUCUUUCUAAAGAGAGCGAGCAUUUGAUGAGAGGACGUGGUGGUAAUCGUGGAUGUGGUGAUUUUAGAGGUCGUGGUCGAGAAAACUACGGUAAAAGAAAAUUUGAUGAGAGUAAUUCAAACUCAAAUUCAUCAAGUGGUCAUGGAAGACAACAUUAUACGAGGUCAAAUAGAGAAAGAUCAAAUAAAUUUGACCAUUAUUCCUAGGAAUGCAAAAAUAGAGUUGAAGAAAAGGCAAAUUAUGCUGAGAAAGAUAAAGAAAGUGGUAAUUCAUCAUUGCUUCUAGAAUGCAAAGGUGUGGAAACAUGUGAAAACAAUGCAUGGUAUCUCGAUAGUGGUGCAAGCAAUCACAUGUGUGGAAGUAAAUCGAUGUUCAUAGAGCUUGAUGAAUCCGUUGGUGGAGAUAUCGCAUUUGGUGAUGCCUCAAAAAAAUUUCAGUUAAAGGAAAAGGUAAAAUUUUGAUCAAUUUGAAGAAUGGAAAACAUGAGUUUAUCUCUAAUGUUUAUUAUGUGCUUGAUAUGCUUGAUAUGCUUGAUAUGAAGAACAACAUUUUGAGUUUGGGACAACUAUUGAAGAAAGGCUAUAAUAUUUUGAUGAAGGUUUAUAGUCUUUUGAUAAGAGAUAAUCAUGACAAAAUGAUAGCUAAUGUGCAAAUGACGAGAAAUAGAAUGUUUUUAUUAAACAUUCAAACUGAUGUUGCGAAAUGUUUAAAGCCAUGUUUGAAAGAUCCAAACUGGAUUUGGUACUUGAGAUUUAGGCAUUUAAACUUUGAUGGCUUGAGAGUAUUAGCUAAGAAGGACAUGGUGAAAGGGUUGCCAUAUGUUAAACAUCCAGAUAAAUUUUGUGAAGGUUGUCUUUGCAGCAAAUAAUCAAGGAAUUGUUUUCCACAAGAAUCAUCUUCAAGAGUAAGGAGACCACUAGAGUUGGUUCAUACUGGUAUUUAUGGAUCGAUCAAACCAAGUUCUUUCAGUAAGAAUAAUUAUUUUUUAUUACUUACUUAUGAUUUCAGUCAAAAAAACUUUGGUUUAUUUUGUCAACGAGAAAUCAGAAGGAAGCAUGUUCAAGAGAUUUAAAGCCCUUGUUGAAAAAGAAAUGGGUUAUUACAUCAAAGCAUUGAGAUCAUACAGGCGAGAGGUAAAUUCACUUCAAAUGAAUGCAAAACUUUUUGCGUAGAAAAUGGAAUCCGUCGACCUAUGACAAUUCCAUUUACUCCUCAACAAAAUGGUGUUGUUGAGAGGAAGAAUCAAACAAUACUUAGCAUGGCUCGAAGCAUGUUGAAGAGCAAGAAGAUGCCAAAAGAAUUCUGGGCACAAGUUGUUGAAUGUGCAGUGUACUUGUCAAAUCAUUCCCCUACUAGAAGCUUAUGAAACAAAACUCCUCAACAAGCAUGGAUAGGAAGAAAACCAUCCAAUGCUCAUUGGAGAGUAUUUGGAUGUAUGGCUUAUGUGCAUAUACCUGAUCAAAAGCAUAGUAAGCUUGAUGAUAAAAGUGAGAAACAUGUUUUUGUUGGCUAUGAUGCAAGCUCAAAACGCUACAAGCUUUAUAAUUAUGUGACAAAGAAGACGAUGGUAAGCAGAGAUGUUGUGUUUGAUAAACAAGCAUCAUGGAAUUGGAAUGAUGAACCAAAAGACUAUAAAUGUUUGGUUUUUCUCGAGGAUCAUGAUAAGCGGCCUAGUGACAUUGCUUCUUCAUGAACACUACCAACAUCGUCAAUCACUCCACAACAAAACACAUCUUCAUUAUCUGCAAGUUCAAGUGAAGGACCUUGUGGCAUGAGAAGUUUACAAGACAUAUAUAUGUUGAAACUGAAGAGUUAAGUCAAAGUUUUAAUAACCUUACUCUCUUUUAUCUAUUUGGUGACGCAGUGAAUCUUUGAAUUUUGAAGAAGCUUCACAAAAUGACAAAUGGAAGAUUGCUAUGAAUGAAGAGAUAGAAGUCAUAAAAAAGAAUGAUAAUUGGGAACUUUCUACUCUUCCAAAUGGAAAGAAAGCAGUAGGUCAUGUCAAAUGGGUGUUCAAGAUAAAAAGAAAUGAAAAAGGAGAAGUGAAGAGAUACAAAACAAGAUUAGUUGCAAAAAAAUAUUCUCAAAGAAAAGGCAUUGUUACGUGAAGUGUUUGCUCAUGUUGCUCGUUUUAGAAACCAUAAGGUUGUUAAUUGCUCUUGCUCCUCAAAAUAAUUGAAAGAUCUUUCAGAUGGAUGUCAAAUCAGUAUUUUUGAAUGGAUAUCUAGAAGAAGAAGUUUACUUAGAACAACCUCUUGGUUAUUAUGUGAAAGGCCAAAAGGAUAAAGUUCUAAAAUGGAAGAAGACAUUAUACGAAUUGAAACAAGCACCAAGAAUGUGGAAUAGCAGAAUCAACAAAUAUUUUCUUGAUAAUGGGUAUUUGAGGUGCCCUUAUGAACAUUCUCUUUAUAUUAAGACUAAUGGUCAUAGAGAUACUUUGGUGGUUUGUUUGUAUGUGGAUGACUAAAUUUUUACAGGAAAUCAUGUAAGUAUGUUUGAAGAUCUCAAGAAGGAGAUGACCCAAGAAUUUAAAAUGACAGAUAAGGGUUGAUGUCAUAUUAUCUUGGCAUUAAGGUGAAGCAAUCAGAGAAAGGUAUUUUCAUCUCUCAAUAAUGAUAUACUAGAGAAAUUCUAGAGAAGUUCAAUAUGAUCAAUUCCAAGUCUGUCACCACUCUGAUUGAAACUGGGACCAAAUUGUCUAAAUAUGAAGAAGGAGAUGUUGAUCUGUUGGUUUUACAACAAAGAAUCUGUAAAAUCUCACGCACUCUUCUUGAAGAAAGCAAAGAUAAAUACUUUGUAAGAUAUAUUGCCAAGAGGGAGAGAAAAUUAAAUGGAACUUCUUAUCUUUAUUCAAUUUGAUGGACUAAUAUUUAUAGUCUAAAAAAGCACAAAUUAGUAACCCACUAACUUAGUGCUUGCUAAAACUUUGGACAUGAUUAAAAAUCAAAUAACCAAAAAAUAAAUACAAAAAUAACUUAAUUCUUCCACCUAUUUAGGAAGAUCAUGGCAAAUUAAUAGCCCACACUACCCCCCUAAUUCUGACAUGGUUCUAAGUUACGAACACCAAGUAGUUGACGCAUAGCAGCUAACUUUACUCUCGUCAAUGCUUUAGUCAGGACAUCGGCUCGUUGUUCUCCAGUGUUGACAAAUUCAACGAUAAUUUGUCCAUUCUUGACACACUCUCGAAUGAAAUGAAAACAUGUAUCUAUGUGCUUGUUGCGACCAUGAAAUACGGGAUUCUUCAUGAGAGCUAUCGCGGAUUUGUUGUCCACAAAUAAUGUUACUGGCCUUGGCUCCAUUCGACUAUCUCGCUAACAAGGCAUCUUAANNNNNNNNNNNNNNNNNNNNNNNNNNNNNNNNNNNNNNNNNNNNNNNNNNNNNNNNNNNNNNNNNNNNNNNNNNNNNNNNNNNNNNNNNNNNNNNNNNNNNNNNNNNNNNNNNNNNNNNNNNNNNNNNNNNNNNNNNNNNNNNNNNNNNNNNNNNNNNNNNNNNNNNNNNNNNNNNNNNNNNNNNNNNNNNNNNNNNNNNNNNNNNNNNNNNNNNNNNNNNNNNNNNNNNNNNNNNNNNNNNNNNNNNNNNNNNNNNNNNNNNNNNNNNNNNNNNNNNNNNNNNNNNNNNNNNNNNNNNNNNNNNNNNNNNNNNNNNNNNNNNNNNNNNNNNNNNNNNNNNNNNNNNNNNNNNNNNNNNNNNNNNNNNNNNNNNNNNNNNNNNNNNNNNNNNNNNNNNNNNNNNNNNNNNNNNNNNNNNNNNNNNNNNNNNNNNNNNNNNNNNNNNNNNNNNNNNNNNNNNNNNNNNNNNNNNNNNNNNNNNNNNNNNNNNNNNNNNNNNUAUAGAUAAUUUGGUUUGUGAUAAGUUUUUAUAAGUAGUCUAACUUAUAAGAUAUAUCGAGUUAGCUUGAGCUAUAAUGGACCGUAUGACAAUGCUUGUCACAAACUACUCAAGAGAGUAAGUAGCAAGGACAUGGCUAACAAUCGCAAAGAGGAGCAUGAGACAAACUCCACCUUGGUGAGAUAACUUUCUUCACUUAUGUUCGAAAGGAUAAUAAGUGUGGGUACUUGGUGCCAAGAAGUUGGAACCUUAAAUGAGAAGUAUUGUAUGUCUUAUAGGCAACCAUUGCUAGAUAGCUAUCCCGUAAUGAACUUUUGUCAUUUGCAUCCUGGAGGAGCAGAUGUGACAUUUAAGCACUGAGAGGUGCUCACCUAAUCAAAAGGUCAUUAACUGAUCCCUAUUGCAUCAUAGCUUAUCGCAUAAUUUAACCACUUACAAUAGAAAGACUUUCCUUCACAUUUUCUUAACACAAGUUACUUCAUUUUCUCAAUCUUCUCAUUUUCUCAAUCUUCUCACCAUGCUUAUCACCUUUUAUAGAAUCUCUAGUGUAGAUAUCAGACGUAGCUUAUACGCACUUUACUUAUACUGGAUAGUUAUCUUAUACCAUCUAGAUGAAGUAUACCUUAGAACCAAGUUUUGAUAUCAAUUCCCUGUGUUUGACGUUGGAUCAUCCAUGAAACCUAUCAUUUCCCUUACAUUUGGGCAAGCGAAAGAAAAACUUGUACUACAUGAGGAUUUUGUAACUGCACAAGAAAAAGAGACAUAAUGAGCAUCUUGUAUGUAAUGACCAUGUCUCUCCACGUAGAGAGGUUUGUGAUAUAACUUAACUUACAUAUCUCAAUCGUGCAAACUCAAGCAUUAGAACUCUAAAUGAACUUAGAUCGCCAUAUUUCAAAAGAGUAAGUCCAAAUCUCAAAAUACCAGUUAUCGUCUUCAUUGCCAAGUUUGUGGUGAUUCACCUUUGUACAUGAUACUCCACGUGCCAAUGUCGGUGCCUCUACGGCAAUCGCCAAAACAUCUCCAAUUGGUAACUCCAGACAGCGUUGAACAGUCUUUCUGGCAACUCCUCUUCUGCCUAUCCCUCCACAAAAUAUCCCAUAUCUACAAUAACAUUGGUGACAUAACCAAGCGCAAGAUGCAAAGUCGCAUUGAAAAUUUUUGAGCUACCUAUAUCUACGUUAAUUUCAAAAUAGUUAUGUCCUCUAUGGUAAUUGCACAUCAAUGCCUUCCCUAAAAACAUGCACUGUACUUUCCUACCCUUUCUUUACAAACCAUGGACCUUUUAUGAUUCGAUUCACCAAUUUAAAUCAUUGAUUUUUGAAAGCAUCAUCGCCACUGAUGAAUCAAUGUAGAAGCGAGCUAAACGAAUGUGUCGAGGCAAGACGAAAAAAAACAUAGUUGUGUCGAGGAAAGUGGAAAAUGACGUCAUAUGAGAGUUUGUUAACGAGGAUAGUGGUGUGUGACGAAACUUGAUCAGCGCAUACCUUGACGACAUCUUUGUUGAUGAAAGGGAUUUUGAGGAGACAGGACAAAGCUUGACAAGGUGAACAAGAAGAAAUUGAAGAAGGGUAUUCCUGUUAUAAAAAAUCCAUCGUGGUCUAAUGGGCUUUUAUUUUUGUUAUAUAUGUGUAAAUUUCUCUUUCCAAAUCAAUUUUUUCUAAUAACUUAUAUCGCUUUUUAUAAAACAAAGUCAUACAAUAGAAUUUAGAAAAGAAAAAUUCAUUAGAUGACAAAAGCACAACCCAUGCACCUCUUUUUUUCAUAUUGCAAAAAUUGCAAAUAUGACAAGUAAUUAGUGAUAUCAAACAAUAUUAGAUGGUCAUCGGAGGGCUAUCAGAGAGUUGUUGAGGACUAUUAGAGGGUUAUCAGUUUCAAAUUUUCUAUUUUUGUAAUGUAAAAAGUGUAGUGACAUGUGUCCUAUUAUCAUAAUUGUGUUUUCUAUUUUUGCAAGUGCCCCUUUAGAAAAUUUGGGAGUUUGAUUUAAUUUCCUAGAAUUUUGUUUUUGUGAGGGAUCACAUCUUUAGAAGUUUGAGGUUUGAUCUUAAGAAAAAAACCAUUUAAUCAAUGUUUUUUUAUAAAAAAAUAUCUUUAUGAGAAGGCCAUUCUUACAUCGAAUUUUGAGAAAUUGUACUAAUUUCUCACUUUCUUCAGGUGAGAAGUUUUUUUCAAUAUAGUUCAAUUUAUGAAAUGCUCUUCAAUUAUUUUUUGAGAUCAUUGUUGGAAAUAUUGGAGUUUUCAGAGGUAAAAUAAGUUAUUAUUUUUAAAAAUAAAUUAAAGAAUAUUUUAAAAUUCAAGAGUUGAAAUUUUGCCAACAUUUCUAAACUGGUGUUGUGCGGUGUUAAUUCUUCCUCAUACACAAGUGACUUUCGAACCUAACACUAGUUUUUGCAGACCAUUUUUUUGUGAUUUUGUUUAAAAAUUGUUUACUUUAUUUUGGUCCAAUCACAACAUAAAAAAGAUGAGUGACGACUUUUUUUUUUUUGUUUUAUUUUAAAAUUAAUCUAUUUUGAGGUCGAUCGCUUUGCGUCGUCUCAGACACGGCGAUAGCAAUAGCUAAGUACAAACGAAAAGGUUAGUUCUUUAUCUGGAAAGCUAAAUUUUUUAUAAUGGCCUAAAAUUCUAAUUCCCUAAAUUUAUGCAAAAAUAUGUAAGUAUAUAUGCAAUUGAGCUAAACCAAAACCACCCCAACUUUGAAGGCAUGUUUUGUCGUUGAAGUAUAAAAUUAAAAUAAAAAGUACAAGAAGAAAUAAAAGAGGAAUAAACAAAAUUCUCAUGAAUUAUGCAAGUGCCAUGUGCACCCACCACAACACUCCUGGACACACAAUAGAUAAAUGUUACAAGCUUCAUGGAUAUCCUCCUGGAUAUAAGACCAAACAACAACAACGAAACAAUAACAUUGUUAAUUCAGUAGCAGCUCAAAACAGUGAGAAUAUCUCUCAAGACACCACAUAUUAACAGUCUUCAAGUUCUAAUAAGAUGAGCAACAAACUACUACACAUCACCAUUGUAAUUGAAGAAUUCGUAAAAAAAAUUCCUAUGCCAACAACAAAAAUGUUUUGAAGGCACCUGUUGGAUUUAGUAUGGCACGUUCUUCAAAUAUGGGGAAAAACAUUCUUUAGAUGAUUAGAUGGUGAAUGUUAUUAAGGUAACAAAGGAGAAAGCCAUGAAAAAUCAAUUCAAAAUAUGAAACACAAAUUAGUCAAAUCCUAGAAAAGAGUGCGUUGGAAAAAGGUAAGUUGCCGAGUUACCCUAAGAAAAAUCCUAGAUAAGAGUCCAUUGCAAUCACAACUAGAAGUGUAAAAGAGUUGAACAAGCCUAUUGCGACUGAUGAGGAUGAAGUAUGAACCAUCUCAAGAGGAGACUGAAUCUAACAAUGUUAAUAAACGUAACAUUCCAAAUUUCACGAAAUUUUAUUUUAUUAUCUUGAAGUAAUUGGAUUAUAGUUUGGUUUUUUAAGGUUAAAUAAAAAAAAUUGUGUUAGAUGAAUCAAUUUAAACUAAGAAUAUUAGGAUAUUUUGGUUGAUUUUGAUGAUUGGAUCAUGGGUUAAGAUAACUGAUUUUGAGUUUAAUUUGGAAAGGAAAUGAGAAAUUAGAGAAAUAAAAUUAGAAAAAGAAAUUUAAGAUAUAUUUAGAAAAUUGCAUGAAAAUAACCAAAACAUUUAGAGAAAAAAAACAGCUUUUUUUUUAUAUUGGAAAUAUGGCUAUUAGAGGAUAAUUAAAUGAUCAUCACUUUUAAAUGGUCUGUUAUCAUUUUUUUUUUGUUAUUUCUGCAAAAUCUCUUAUAUAUUUUUUGAAAUAGAAAAGUAUUUUUAAUAGAAAAUUUGUCAAAAAUUUAUCUUUGCAAAAUAUUAACACUUCCUAAAAAAAGUUAAUAAAUAUUUUAGUCGAAUAAAUAAUUUGUAAUUUCUUUAUAUUUUUGAAAAAACUUAUACAUAUAGGCGUUUAUAUAGGAAAAGAAAUGGAUUAGGGUUUCAAAUAUAUAUAUAUCUACCACCUUUAGAGUGCGUGCGUCAGCUAACCCCCUCAGGCUCAGUCGCAUUCUUCAGCCGCCCAAUCGUCGUUUCCCUCCUCACCUGACCGUCUCUAACGGCUGAUCAUCCUCCAAAGCCCAACCGAACACACCUCGCCAGAUGUGAGUGUUCGUCGCCGUUCAAAGCCUUUGUCGUCGCAACUCAUUGUUCGUUAGCUCGCCGUCAAUCUUGUCAACCACUGUCAUCGGUUGUAGUUGUCAUCGCUCACCAUAACCUCUAGUUGUGUGAAAUUUUUGUGUUUUUCUUGUCGGUGUCUUGGUGAUCGUUGUGUACUAGGUUGAAUUCAUAAAUUGUACGAUACUCUAGACGGUUGGAUUUGAAUUUUGUAAAGCAUUUAAGCCACUAUCCAGCAGGUUAUUAUCUAUUUUUCCAGCGAUGUUUAGGUAAGCAAUUGGGAGUUUUAAAUCGAAUUUUGGAUUUGAAGUAUUGUGGCUAAAGUUAAUAAUAAUUUGUAUUACGUUUAAGUUGGUUAUAAAAUUUUACUAAAGACUAAGGAACUUGGUUACUUCAACCAUAACUUGUGAUGAAUUUGAGGUCGGGGAUUUACUUUAGAAAUAAGACUGUUUACACUGAACACGUUGUUAUGAACUGAUUCACUUGGAAUUGCUAUGAUAUGCUCAUGAUUAGACUGCUGAGAGUAUUCUAAAAUCCACUAAUAAUGUUCUUAAAGUAAUGAUAUAUAUUAAUGACAUGAUACAGACUAUUAGUGUUUGUUAGUCUCUCUAUCGGGAGAUGUGUUCAUCCUGUUAUAUGUUAGGGUGCCCAAUGGGAUCAAUACGCUAGAAAGUCCAUCUAUGCCGACUCUCUUAAGGGGUGUUUGGAGGAGGAAAAGGAAAUAUAAAUAUGCCUACUCUCUUAAUCCUUCCCUUUCUUCUUUUCAAUCUUCCUCUUUCCUCCUCUUAAUCCUUCAAUAAAUACAAUCACAUCAAAUUUUUCUUUUUUUUUCAAAAUAUAAAUAUAUUUUUCUUACAAAUUAUAUUUUAGCAAAUAUAAUUAGCUUUCCAAUUUUCCAUAACAAUUAUAUAUAUAUAUAUAUAUAUAUAUAUAUAUAUAUUCACAUAUACAUAUAAUUAUCAAAUUUCUAACCAAAUUCAACUCUUUAAUUUAAUUAAAUAAACACUCAAAAAUGUUUAAUUAAAUUCAAAUUCAACUAUACUUAAAAAUUCAAAUCGAGUAUCAAUUAAAUAUUCAACCCAUAAAUAUUUAAUUAAUUUUAAUUUCAAAAAUCAUUAAUAUUCAAUCCAAUGAUUGUUUGUCAUUAUUUUACAUCAUCGUGAUGUAAGUAAUUGCCAUCACUGUUUAAUCGCAUUCCAAAUUUUUAAAAAAAUCAUAUUUCAUUUAGUUUAAAUGUCAUUAUGUUCAUUCUCAUUUGUUUAAAUCGACGGUUAACGAUAUGCAAUUUCCAAACAUUGCACUUACAACAUCAAUUUUAAAAACUAGAUAUAAUUUCUUUUGCACAUAACACAUCAAUUUGUUUAUUGACACAGAAUGUUUGGAUACAAAACGUUCAAAAUUGACAUCGUAUUUACAAAAACCAAUGGAAUAUGUUUUUCAAUAAAAAAUCUAAAUUUUGGUAAAUUAAAAAUACAAACAUUUGUGUAUUGGAUUUAUUAUACAAUUUUUUUAAAAAAUAAUACAAGAGUACGAAUUUCUUUUAAAAAAAGUUUAUUAGCAUAAUCCUUCCUAAUGAUUUCUUCCCAAAUCUUUGAAAAUGCAACAAAAUAGAAAGAAAAAAAAAAGGAGCAUAUUUUUAAAAUUAUUGAUUUACAAAUCAAAUUGAACUAUAAAUUAAAGAGAAAUGAAAAAAUAAAUAAUACAAUUUCCUUGUAAUUGGAUUUAGGGUACAAAUUUGAAAAACAUAUUUUCCGCAAACCAACAAAAAUAAUAAUAAUACAAUUUGUUUUGUAUAUUGGAUUUAAUGUAAAAAAAAUAAGAAAAAAUACUGCUAUACAGAUGAAAAAGAAAACUUCAACUUUAAAAGUGUAUUGGGUGUAUGUUACAAGUAAAAAAAUAUAAUACAAAAUCAAAAAAAAUUAAUACAAAUUUUGUGUGUAUUCAGACUAUGGUACAACUAAAAAAAUUGAAUUUGAGUACAAUUUUUGGUUGUAAAGAUUUUAGGGCACGAACAAGAGACAAAAGUUUACAUACAAAUGCAAAAAAUAUUAGCACAUUUUUCAUUUUAUAUUGAAUACAAAAAAAAAAAAAAAAACAAGAAUUUCAUAUCCAUGAAAAAGAAAAUUAGUUGUUUUUUUGUACAAUUUUAUUUCACACAAAUGAAAAAAAAAUACAAUUUUUUUAUCAUAAUCAUUCCCCAAAUAAAUAUUAUAAAUAAUUCCUCAUAAUCCUCCCAAUUAUUCAUUUCCCCAAACAAGGAUUAUAAAUAAUUCUCCUACUUAAUCCUUUCCCAGAUAAAGAUUAUAAGUAACCCUUUAUGUUUCAUAAUCUUCUUUUUCUUAUUCCUUUUCUCCAUUUUCCUUUCUUUCCCCCAAACACUCUGUUCGUGUACACAAUGACCUACUAUACUUAAAACUUUACUUUUUAAAAGACUAGUGGUCAACCUUUCCUUAAAUAGCAUAAUAUCAUAUUGUAAUAAACACUUAACUGUAUCCAAAUUCAUUUACAACUCUUACAUAAGUCCAGCAAAGAUAAAGACAACAUAAACCUACUAGACAAACUGAAUGACUAUGGGAUCACAAUUAUUACUUAGAAGGUUCAUUUUGGAAAAAUAAAAGGAUAAGUAAAGGAAUUUGAAGAAAUAGUGUAAAGGAAUUUGAAGAAAGAGUUUUUUAUGAAUUAGGUGUUUUGACGCUAGGGUUGAGUUAAGGUGGACAAGAUUAACUUGGCAGGAUAGGUUGCAAACGAGUUAGGUUGGGAGACAUUUUCAAUCCAACCCAUGAUUUUGUUUGGUUCGGUUGGCAACCCGAAUAACCUAAAUUUUGUUACCAACCUAAUGCUUAAAAUAUGGGUUGGGUUAGGUUAGGUUGUCUGAUUUUAUUGUUCUUUUUCAAAAACGAUGACUUUCAAAUUUAAACGAUUGUGUAGAUCAUGAUACACGAUCACGAGCCUUAGUUGCACUGAGAUGCCUCGAGAUGAAAGAUUUUGCUUUGAAUUUAUUCAAUCUCGGGUAUACAAUUCCUCGAGAUGCUCCAAGAUGAAAGAAUUCUCCCCUCAGUUAAUGGAUCUCGAGAUUUAAUGGCACCGAGAUGGCCUGGGAUGAAAGAAUUUCUGCCUUUAUUUUAUUCCAUAUCGGGCAUAUAAUGCCUCGAGAUACCUCAGUAUGAAAGACUUAUUGCCUUUAGUUAUUCAAUUUUAGGCCUUAAUUGCAUCGAGAUGGCCCCAAAUGUAAUAUUUUUUAUCUUUAAUUCAUUUGAUAUCUGGUAUCCAGUGUCUCGAGAUGCCCUAGGAUGAAAAAAAAUUCUUCAUUUAAUUAGUUAUUGGAUCUUGAGCAUUAAUGGCACCGAGAUGGCAGAGGAUUAAAGAAUUAUGCCUUUAUUUUGUUCGAUCUCAAGCAUAUAUUGUCCCGAGAUGCUUUGAGAUGCCUCGAGAUAAAACACUUUUGGUUUUAGUUAUUUGAUCUCAGGCCUUAAUUGCACCCAGGUGGUCAGAGAUUAACAAAUUGCAAAGAAGAUAUAAAUUUCAUAUAUACGAUUGUUGAAUAAGAAAUUUUGAGACCAAUCACAAGUUGCCACAUCAUUUAUUAAGUUAAUGAUGAAAAGUACAAAUAAUUAAAUUUGGGACUAAUUAAAAUUGACAUAUGCUCCAAAUUAAAGAGUUAAAAUAAAUAAAUUGGUCAUUCUAAUAAUGCCACAUGUUUUCAUAUUAAUCGUUGGAUUAAGUUUAUCAUUUUAGUUCAAUUAAAUAUUAUUUACUUGGACUAAGUUCAAUUAAGCCAAAAAAAUAAGCUUAAUUGAGCCCAAAUACUAAAUAUAACCUAAGUCCAUAUGGUUGAGCCCAUGGGUCUGGUCCAUGGACCAACCAGGUUCAAACCCAUAAAGCCCACCAGUGAACUCUAUAAAUAGAGGAAUUCUCCUAAUUUGUAGGGGUUGGAAAAUUUUGACUCUAGAAGAUCCAGAGAGAAUUCUUCCAAGAGCUAGAAGACUCCCUAACUCUUGAAGUCGACCAUCCUCGAAGAUUGAAGCUUCUUUAAAGAUACAAGCUUUCUUCCAAGGCUCCAACUUCAAGAACAUCACGUGCUUCGCUUCCUCCAAAUCAAGCUGAAGCAUCCAGUUGAGAGAGAAUCAGAGGAUCAAAUUCUAGAGAUUGAACCGCAUCGCAUCAAAUCAACAAAAAUACAACAUCAACCCAAGUUCAAGUCCACGAAUUAAAUUUCUCCGGAAAUCUCGUGCGAACAAAUUGGCACGCCCAGUGGGACCAUCUCUACCUCUCAUCUCUCUCUCAUCAUCUAGAUCUACAAGCAAAUCAAUGGCAUCAAAGAAAGCUGCAUCCAAAUCUUCAGCUGCAAGCGACACCUACACGGGACCUAUCACCCGUAGUCGUUCCAAGGGGAUCAUCCAAGGGCAAGACCAAGGUUCCGCCAUCGCGCAGAGCAUCCUGAAGCAAUUGAUGGAAUCUCCUAAAGCUGGAAUUGUCAUCAAGGAAAAUCCUCUAUAUAAUGAUUAUGAUUCUGCCUCUAGCAGGUCACUGAAAGAAGCACACCCAGAUGUGAUGUCCGUCAUGAUGGCUGAUGUAGCAGUCGAGACUGCCAUGGCGGAGAUGGAGAGAAAAAUUAAUCUCCUGAUGAAGGUUGUUGAUGAACGAGACCACGAAAUUGCAGCUUUAAAGGAGCAGAUGCAGACUCGUGAAACUGCUGAAUCGAGUCAAACUCCUGUCGUUAAAGUUGAUGACAAAGGGAAGAAACGUGGUACAAGAAAAUCAGCCACAACAACAAUCAACUUCUGUGGCUUCUCUCUCGGUUCAACAAUUACAAGAUAUGAUCACAAACUCCAUCAGAGCACAAUAUGGAGGCCCAUCUCAGACUUCUUUCAUGUACUCUAAACCAUACACCAAAAGAAUCGACAACUUGAGAAUGCCGCUUGGAUAUCAGCCUCCAAAAUUCCAGCAGUUUGACGGAAAGGGCAAUCCAAAACAGCACGUUGCUCACUUCGUCGAAACAUGUGAGAAUGCAGGAUCAAGAGGAGAUCAACUAGUCAGACAAUUUGUUCGAAGCUUGAAAGGAAAUGCUUUUGAAUGGUAUACUGAUCUGGAGCCAGAAAGCAUUGAGAGUUGGGAACAACUAGAAAAGGAGUUUCUCAAUCGCUUCUACAGCACCAGGCGUACUGUAAGCAUGAUGGAGCUUACAAAUACGAAACAAAGAAAGGGAGAACCAGUCAUCGACUACAUCAAUAGAUGGAGAGCUCUAAGUCUUGACUGUAAAGAUCGGCUCACCGAACUGUCGGCUGUAGAAAUGUGCACCCAAGGCAUGCACUGGGGACUCCUCUACAUUUUGCAGGGAAUAAAGCCCCGCACAUUUGAAGAACUGGCAACUCGAGCUCAUGAUAUGGAGUUGAGCAUCGCCAGUAGAGGAACUAAAGAUUUUCUUGUUCCUGAAGUAAAGAAAGAUAAGAAAGAGAUGAAAGGUGCUGAAAAGAUAGUGAAAAGCACGAAAGAAUCUAUGGUCGUAAACACAACCCCGCUGAAAUUCUCCAAAGGAAAGGAAGCGAGGGUUGAAAAGAAGGAUGAUGGAAGCGAAAGGCGACGUCUGACUUUAAAAGAAAGGCAGGAAAAAGUUUACCCAUUUCCUGAUUCAGAUAUCGCUGACAUGCUAGAGCAACUACUAGAGAAGCAGCUGAUCCAGCUGCCAGAAUGUAAACGACCUGAGCAAGCAGGAAAGGUAGAUGAUCCCAAUUACUGCAAGUAUCAUCGGGUCAUCAGUCAUCCAGUAGAGAAAUGCUUCGUGCUGAAGGAGCUAAUUCUAAGGUUGGCUCGUGAGAAAAGGAUUGAGCUAGAUUUGGAGGAAGUAGCUCAAACAAACCACGCUGAAGUGACGAUAAUGUCUGAGGCUUCUUCGUCGAGAUUGAUUUUUGAGCAAAGGAAAAGCUUGGUCCAGUUCGGGACCUUUGAGCCUAUAGUUGUCCAAUUCUUUCAGGAAAUCUCAUACGAGGAUCCUCAAGGAGAGAAAAGACCAAUCGAAGAAGACGAUGAAGGGUGGAUAGUGGUGACCCACCGAAAGAAAAGACAGUCGAUCCCGACCCAAAGAGAGUCUCGCUCUUACCAAAACUAUAGAAGAGGAAAUAAGACUCAAAAGAAUAAGAAAAAGAAGAAGACUCAUAAGCUUAAGCUCGUACAUAAUGAAGACAUGAAUUUCUCUCGACCUCAACGCUUAGUGACCUUGGCAGACUUCCUUCCAAAAAGCUUCCUUUGUGAUCAUCAGGAUGAAGACCCAGAAGUCGUUGCGUGUCAUGCUAUCAACACAACGGAGGAAGAAAUAAUCCCUCCAAGAUCACUAGAAGGAGAGGGAGUAUCAAAAGACCUUUCAAGGUUUAAUGUAGAGGAUCUAUUAUCACUUCCUCAAGAGACCAAAACCAUCCUUAUUGAUGCAUUGCUAAAUUCAAGAGCAUCAAGUUCGAGUACUCCGACUAUGACAUAUGAGAGUGGUUCUUAUUGUAUGUCUAUAGACUUCUCAGAUGAGGAUUUGUUGUUGGGAUCUAAACUUCAUAAUAGACCUUUGUAUGUUUCUGGAUACGUUCGAGAACAGAGAGUCGAUCGAAUCCUCAUUGAUAAUGGCUCAGCUGUCAACAUAAUGCCAAAGUCGACUAUGUGGCAAUUAGGCAUCUUGAUGGACGAGCUCUCAAAUAGCAAGCUAGUAAUUCAAGGUUUUAACCAAGGUAGCCAAAGAGCAAUAGGCAUGAUACGGUUAGAACUCAUAAUUGGCGACCUAAAGGCCAGUGCAUUGUUUCAUGUCAUAGACUCAAGGACUACUUACAAGUUGUUACUAGGGCGUCCUUGGAUUCAUGGAAACGGAGUAGUAACUUCAACACUGCAUCAGUGCUUCAAAUUUUAUCAGGACGGUGUAAAGAAGGUUGAAGCCGACUCUAAUCCAUUCUCAGAAGCUGAGUCUCACUUCGCAGAUGCAAAGUUUUAUUCAAAGAAUAAUAAUAUUUUAGAAGUUUUGCCUGCAGAAACCCCUCUUACAAAAGGAGAAGAUAAUUCACAACUGAAAUCACUCGCAACCACAGAACCACAUGAAAGUGCGAGAACCUUUAACUCUGGAAAGGGUGAAGCAUACACUAGCAGCACAAAGGGUAUGAUCUUGAAGGAUGAAAAUGCUGCAAACACACCAGUUUUGCGUUAUGUCCCUCUGUCAAGGCGCAAGAAAGGCGAAUCACCAUUCAUGGAGUCUCCAAAAGGUUUGAAAGUUGGUGACAUCGAAAUCAUAAAAGAAAGCUUCACUACACCACUAACUAAGAUAGCGAAGCAGAGGUAAAGGUAGAUCUGGUGGAAGCAAACUUGCCCCAAAGGCGAACGAAAGACGGAUUCGACCCCAAGGCUUACAAAUUGAUGGCGAAAGCAGGUUAUGACUUCACAGCUCACACCGAGUUUAAAAGCUUGGAAAUUCAUGACCGACCUGAGCUCUCCUCAACUCAAAAGAAGCUUCUACGGGAAGGACAUUCUAUACCCGUGUCGAGAAAAGGACUCGGAUACAAGUCGCCAGAACCGAUCCGUAUAACUAAAAAGGGGAAGGAAAAAGUGGUUGACAUCAAUCAUAUAACUAUAGAGGAGGAUGACAAUACUGACGUAAAAGAAGGUGAUAAUCAGAGAAUCUCAGUAUUUGAUCGAAUUAGACCAUCUGUUGCACGUCCCGUAGUAUUUGAAAGGCUAAGCAUGACAGAGGCAGAAAGAGAAAGGCUCCAGUCAGUACCAAACCUUGAGAGACAUUCGGUCUUUCGAAGGCUAACUACGACUCCCAUAAAGGAAGAAAGCACAUGCCAUGCCUUGACAACUACAAGACCAUCAGCCUUUGAAAGGCUAGGUGUGUCUAAAAAGAAAAAUGUACAAGCACCCCGUGCUCCGAUUUUUAAUCAUCUCGGGAUAAAGGAUCACACGACAACAUUGAUUCCAACAUAGAUACAAAGAAGAAGGAACCAAUGUCUCGUGUGAAAGUUUGGCGUCGAAUUAAGCAUACAGAUGUCGAGAAUUAUCGUAGUAAGAAGUUUCCUUGCGAGACAAAGGAAAAUGGAGAAAUUCAUAGCAACGUUCCUUCUCGCAUGAAAAGAAAAACUUUUGUUACUCUCAAUACAAGUCAAGGUUCGUUAAAGGUAAAAAGACAUGAUGUUAUACUAACGAAUCCUGAAAAAGAAGGGUCGGAACAAGGGGAAGGUGAAACUUCAUGUCAUCACAUCACCAUUAUUGAGGAAUCAGAGACUGGAACUCAUGAAGAAGACGCAGAAAAUGCCCCACAAAGUUUAGAGGAUGGUGGUCAAUCUACUGUAGACGAGCUAAAAGAGGUGAACCUUGGUACAAUAGAGGAACCACGUCCGACUUUCAUUAGUGCGUCCCUCUCUAACGAAGAGGUGGAUAAAUAUAUGAGUUUGCUCACCGAAUACAGGGACAUCUUUGCGUGGUCGUACAAGGAGAUGCCAGGACUUGACCCAAAAGUAGCAGUCCAUCAUCUUGCAAUUAAACCGGAUAUCGACCGAUUAAACAAGCACAACGACGUUUUCGACCGGAGCUUAUCCCUCAAAUCGAGGUGGAAGUCAACAAGUUGAUCGAAGCAGGAUUCAUUCGCGAGGUCAAAUAUCCAACGUGGAUAGCAAACAUUGUCCCUGUUAGAAAAAAAAUGGACAACUUCGCGUUUGUGUAGACUUUCGCGAUCUGAAUAAUGCAUGCCCUAAAGAUGAUUUUCCCUUGCCCAUCACCGAAAUCAUGGUUGAUGCAACUACUGGACACGAGGCGUUGUCGUUUAUGGAUGGGUCGUCUGGAUAUAAUCAAAUACGGAUGGCCCUCUCAGAUGAAGAAAUGACAGCUUUCAGAACUCCAAAGGGAAUAUACUGUUACAAGGUGAUGCCCUUUGGAUUGAAAAAUGCCGGCGCUACUUAUCAACGUGCCAUGCAGAAAGUGUUUGAUGAUAUGUUGCACAGGUAUGUUGAAUGUUAUGUUGAUGAUCUUGUAGUCAAAACAAAGAGACGACAAGACCAUUUGAAGGAUCUAAAAGUCGUGUUUGAUCGCUUGCGAAAAUAUCAGCUAAGGAUGAACCCUCUCAAGUGUGCGUUUGGUGUAACUUCAGGAAAAUUUCUUGGCUUCAUUGUAAGGCAUCGAGGGAUCGAAAUAGACCAGUCCAAGAUUGAUGCCAUUCAGAAGAUGUCAAGACCUAAAAGUUUGCAUGACCUAAGAAGUCUCCAAGGACGAUUGGCUUACAUCCGAAGGUUCAUCUCUAACUUGGCCGGUCGGUGUCAACCUUUUCAAAAGUUGAUGAGAAAAGGAGAAAAUUUUGUGUGGGAUGAAGCUUGUCAGAACGCUUUUGAUAGCAUAAAGAAAUACUUGCUUACUCCCCAGUGCUGGGAGCUCCAGUACCUGACAAACCACUAAUAUUGUACAUUGCUGCACAAGAAAGGUCCUUAGGAGCAUUACUGGCACAAGAAGAGGUAAAGGGAAAGGAGCGUUCUCUCUACUAUCUAAGCAGAACAUUAAUUGGGGCUGAAGUUAACUAUUCUCCUAUCGAAAAGAUGUGUCUUGCACUUUUCUUUGCCAUUGAUAAGUUGAGGCAUUAUAUGCAGGCCUUCACGGUUCAUCUAGUGGCAAAAGCAGACCCUAUAAAGUAUGUUCUAUCCAGGCCAAUCAUCGCUGGACGCUUAGCCAAAUGGGCGGUUCUACUCCAACAAUAUGACAUUGUCUAUAUUCCCCAAAAGGCGAUAAAAGGACAAGCGCUAGCAGACUUUUUAGCAGACCACCCAAUUCCUUCGGAUUGGAAGUUAUGUGAUGACCUACCAGACGAUGAGGUUUUCUUCACAGAAGUUAUGGAACCUUGGACUAUGUACUUCGAUGGUGCAGCUCGAAGAAGUGGUGCGGGGGCAGGCAUUGUCCUCAUUUCUCCUGAGAAGCAUAUGUUGCCUUAUAGCUUUGCACUUUCCGAAUUGUGUUCAAACAAUGUGGCUGAAUAUCAGGCUUUGAUAAUUGGCCUUCAAAUAGCAUUAGAAAUCGGAGUGUCAUUCAUAGAGGUCUAUGGUGAUUCAAAAUUGAUAAUCAAUCAACUCUCGCUUCAAUAUGACGUGAAACAUGAAGACUUGAAAGCCAUAUUUUUGCUUAUGCUCGACAAUUGAUGGAAAAGUUUGAUAAUGUGAUGUUAGAACAUGUCCCUAGAGUAGAAAAUAAGAGAGCGGAUGCAUUGGCAAAUUUAGCCACGGCCUUGACCAUGCCAGAUGAUGUAACUCUGAACAUACCACUUUGUCAACGAUGGAUUAUACCCCAGUUAGGCCUGAAUGUCAGGAAGUGAACAUGGCAACAUCCUAUUUUGAUUGAUGAAGAAGAUUGGCGUCAACCCAUCAUAGAGUAUCUUGAACAUGGAAAGCUUCCAAAGGAUUCUCGUCAUAAAAUUGAGAUACGAAGAAGGGCAGCACACUUCAUUUAUUACAAGGGAACUUUAUAUCGCCGUUCUCUUGAAGGGCUCUUCCUUCGAUGUCUCGGAAAGGAAGAUUCGGUAAAAGCUCUAAAGGAAGUACAUGCAGGUGUUUGUGGAGCACAUCAAUCGGGACCAAAGCUUCAAUUCCAGCUAAGAAGAAUGGGCUACUACUGGCCUAGAUGAUGAUCCAAGAUUCAAUAGACUAUGUGAAGAAGUGUGAGCCUUGUCAAUACCAUGCAAACUUCAUACACCAACCUCCAGAACCUCUUCAUCCAACUGUGGCUUCUUGGCCUUUUGAGGCUUGGGGACUCGAUCUGGUUGGCCCCAUUACACCAAAAUCAUCAGCAGGACAUUCUUAUAUCCUAGCAGCAACAGAUACUAUUUUUCAAGGUGGGCUGAGGCCAUUUCAUUGAGAGAAGCCAAGAAGGAGAACGUGGCAGACUUUAUUCGAACACACAUCAUCUAUCGAUACGGUAUUCCACAUCGAAUCGUGACGGAUAAUGGAAAGCAAUUCUCCAAUAGUAUGAUGGACAAGUUAUGUGAAAAAUUCAAAUUCAAGCAAUAUAAGUCAUCCAUGUACAACGCAGCUGCGAAUGGACUAGCAGAAGCAUUCAACAAAACAUUGUGUAAUCUUUUAAAGAAAAUUGUCUCCAAGUCAAAGAGGGAUUGGCAAGAAAAGAUCGGCGAGGCAUUAUGGGCUUAUCGACGACUCAUCGCACCCCUACAGGGGUUACACCAUAUUCGCUUGUUUACGGUGUGGAGGCUGUCCUUCCUCUCGAAAGGGAAAUUCCGUCACUAAGAAUGGCAGUACAAGAGGGAUUGACUACCGAAGAUAAUGUGAAGUUACGUCUUCAAGAAUUAGAAGCACUUGACGAAAAGCGAUUAGAGGCUCAGCAAGCAUUGGAAUGUUAUCAAGCGAGAAUGUCCAAAGCUUUUGAUAAACACGUUAAACCUCGCUCCUUUCAAGUCGGUGAUCUAGUACUUGCCGUAAGGAGACCGAUCAUCACAACAAGGCAUACAGGAAAUAAGUUCACACCUAAAUGGGAUGGACCUUACAUUGUUAAAGAAGUUUAUACAAAUGGCGCAUACAAGAUCGUUGAUCAAGACGGACUACGAAUUGGCCCAAUCAAUGUUUGAAGGCUUCAUCGAUGCUGCAGCUCCAGCUCUUUGAGAGGAUAACGAUGGUACAACUUUGAUAGGACGACGAUCGGGCAGCUCUGCCUUCGCUCUCCAAGAUGAAAACGACAGUGUAACAUCGUUUCUGCUCUUGAAGAAGAUCAUGCAAUGCUAAAGCUUUAACCUCUGCUUCAUCUUCAGCUUAUUGCAACGAAGAGGAUUCAUCUUCAUCUUCUCUAAGUUUUGCAAUCGAAGAUGAUUCAUCUUCAUCUGCUCUAAGGUGUCGCAAGUGAGAGGAUUCAUCUUUGUCUCCUCCAUGUGUUACAACCGAGAUGAUUCAUCUUCAUCUUCACCUAGAGUCGCAAUCAAGAAGAUUCAUUUUCAUCUUCUCUCAGGUGUAACAACCGAAGAUGAUUCAUCUUCAUCUGCUCUAAGGUGUCGCAAGUGAGAGAUUCAUCUUUGUCUUCUCCUAUGUGUUGCAACCGAGAGGAUUCAUCUUCAUCUUCUCCUAAGAAUUGCAACUGAGAAGAUUCACCUUCAUCUUCUUCUAGGUGCUACAACCGAGAGGAUUCAUUUUCAUCUUCUCAUUGGAAUUGCAACUGAGAAGAUUCAUCUUCAUCUUCUCCUAAGAGUCGCAACCGAAAGAUUCACCUUCAUCUUCUUUCAGGUGUCGCAACAAAGAAGAUUCAUCUUCAUCUCUUUUAGGAGUUGCAACCAAAGAGAAUUCAUCUUCAUCUUCUUUCAUAUAUCGUAGCCGGAAGGAUUCACCUUCAUCUUCUUCUAGGCUGCUACAAUCAAAGAUGAUUCAUCUUCAUCUUCUCUAUAUGUCAUAGCUGAGAAGAUUCAUCUUCAUCUCUCCAGGUGCUGCAUCGAAAAUGAUUCAUCUUCUCUCAUAUUCAUAGCCGAGAGGAUUCAUCUUCAUCUUCUCCCAUAUGUCAUAGCCGAGAGGAUUUAUCUUCAUCUUCUCCCAGGUGCUGCAAUUGAAUAGGAUUCAUCUUCAUCUCCUCCCAUAUGUCAUAGUCGAGAGGAUUCAUCUUCAUCUUCUCUCAUAUGUCAUAGCUGAGAGGAUUCAUCUUCAUCUUCUUCCAAGUGCUGCAACUGAAGAGAAUUCAUCUUCAUCUCCUUUCAUAUGUCAUAGCCGAGAGGAUUCAUCUUCAUCUUCUCUCAUAUGUCAUAGUGAGGAGAUUCAUCUUCAUCUUCUUCCAAGUGCUGCAACUGAAGAGAAUUCAUCUUCAUCUCCUCCCAUAUGUCAUAGCCGAGAGGAUUCAUCUUCAUCUUCUCCUAUAUGUCGUAGCUGAGAGUAUCCAUCUUUAUCAUCUAACAGGUGUCGCAACCCGGCCGAUGGAAUUCAUUUUCAUCAGCUCUAAAGUGUCGCAAGCUAGAUGAUUCAUCUUCAUCUUCUCCUAGUACCACAACCAAGAAAGAAAGAAAAAAAAA
rnacentral:lncRNA from 1 species